GACGAACGCUGGCGGCGUGCCUAAUACAUGCAAGUAGAACGCUGAAGGGGGAGCUUGCUCUUCUGGAUGAGUUGCGAACGGGUGAGUAACGCGUAGGUAGCCUGCCUGGUAGCGGGGGAUAACUAUUGAAAACGAUAGCUAAUACCGCAUAACAGUAGAUGUUGCAUGACAUUUACUUAAAAGGUGCAAUUGCAUCACUACCAGAUGGACCUGCGUUGUAUUAGCUAGUUGGUGGGGUAACGGCUCACCAAGGCGACGAUACAUAGCCGACCUGAGAGGGUGAUCGGCCACACUGGGACUGAGACACGGCCCAGACUCCUACGGGAGGCAGCAGUAGGGAAUCUUCGGCAAUGGACGGAAGUCUGACCGAGCAACGCCGCGUGAGUGAAGAAGGUUUUCGGAUCGUAAAGCUCUGUUGUAAGAGAAGAACGAGUGUGAGAGUGGAAAGUUCACACUGUGACGGUAUCUUACCAGAAAGGGACGGCUAACUACGUG
rnacentral:rRNA from 1 species